ACAAGUAAUUACUUACAUUUUUAUUGAAAAUUUUGACUAAAUCAUUAAACAAAUCACUUCAAAAAAAAUAGAAAGAUCAUUCAUUACAUUCAAUGUAUAGGAAUAUGGCAAAGUCACUAUUGAGCUAGACAAGAGAUGCAAAUUGCUGAAGGAAAAACAUGCAGAUGGAGGAGCAAGAUCUAUCGUUCAUAUUGAUUAUUGAGUUAGAAAAGGCCUCUUUUCUCGUUAUUGCUACUGCUAGCACAAGUGCUAAGAAGCAUCAAAUGCUAUCAUAAAAAAUUUCCGAAAUUAAUGAUUUGUUAUGUUGUGUGUCAAAGAAUAAAAAUACUACAAUUCCUUAUAAUUGUAGUGAUUGUGAGGAAAUACUUCUAUGUUAUGUUUGUAUUCUGUUAUUAUAUGUUUGUUUUCUUGGAUCUAUUUUGUAUAGUUUUUCUAAUGUCAAAGAUAUUUAAAUAAAUUGUUCACGGUCA